GCCGGAGUGGCGGAAUUGGCAGACGCCCUGGACUUAAAAUCCAGUGAGGUUAAACCCUCGUACCGGUUCAAGCCCGGUUUCCGGCACCA
rnacentral:tRNA from 1 species